GAAAUGCGAUAAGUAAUGUGAAUUGCAGAAUUCAGUGAAUCAUCGAAUCUUUGAACGCACAUUGCGCCCGCCAGCACUCUGGCGGGCAUGCCUGUUCGAGCGUCAUUUCAACCCUCAGAACCCCUUGCGGGAUCUGGCGUUGGGGAUUGGCAUCCAGCCAGCCCCGAAAUCUAGUGGCGGUCCCUCCGCGACCUCCCCUGUGCAGUAGCGAUACCUCGCAGCGGGACAGCGGUCUGACCACGCCGUAAAACCCCCAACUUCUCAAGGUUGACCUCGAAUCAGAUAGGAAUACGCGCUGAAGAUAAGC
rnacentral:misc_RNA from 1 species